UACGAAGGGGGCGAGCGUUGCACGGAAUGAUUGGGCGUAAAGGGCGCGUAGGCGGACUUAAAAGUCAGGUGUGAAAUUCCUGGGCUUAACCUGGGGGGUGCGUCUGAGACGUGUGAUCUUGAGUGCGGAAGAGGGUCGUGGAAUUUCUAGUGUAGCGGUGAAAUUCGUAGAUAUGUGAAAGAAUACCGGUGGCGAAGGCGGAAUUCUGGUCUUUGAGUGACGCUGAGGCACGAUAGCGUGGGGAGCAAACAGG
rnacentral:rRNA from 1 species